rnacentral:rRNA from 1 species
CAAGUCGAGCGAACGGACGAGAAGCUUGCUUCUCUGAUGUUAGCGGCGGACGGGUGAGUAACACGUGGAUAACCUACCUAUAAGACUGGGAUAACUUCGGGAAACCGGAGCUAAUACCGGAUAAUAUUUUGAACCGCAUGGUUCAAAAGUGAAAGACGGUCUUGCUGUCACUUAUAGAUGGAUCCGCGCUGCAUUAGCUAGUUGGUAAGGUAACGGCUUACCAAGGCAACGAUGCAUAGCCGACCUGAGAGGGUGAUCGGCCACACUGGAACUGAGACACGGUCCAGACUCCUACGGGAGGCAGCAGUAGGGAAUCUUCCGCAAUGGGCGAAAGCCUGACGGAGCAACGCCGCGUGAGUGAUGAAGGUCUUCGGAUCGUAAAACUCUGUUAUUAGGGAAGAACAUAUGUGUAAGUAACUGUGCACAUCUUGACGGUACCUAAUCAGAAAGCCACGGCUAACUACGUGCCAGCAGCCGCGGUAAUACGUAGGUGGCAAGCGUUACCCGGAAUUAUUGGGCGUAAAGCGCGCGUAGGCGGUUUUUUAAGUCUGAUGUGAAAGCCCACGGCUCAACCGUGGAGGGUCAUUGGAAACUGGAAAACUUGAGUGCAGAAGAGGAAAGUGGAAUUCCAUGUGUAGCGGUGAAAUGCGCAGAGAUAUGGAGGAACACCAGUGGCGAAGGCGACUUUCUGGUCUGUAACUGACGCUGAUGUG